UGGCUCCCGUCGUAGCUGAGCACGCUCCGAAAAGUAUCGGAUGAUAGCUAAAAAUACUGUGAAAAAUAAUGUGCUGUGAAAAAUAAUUUUCUUGGUAAAGGGAGACAUCCUUCAGUUGGUCGUGGUUCGCUGAAAGCAAUUUGAAAAUGAGGCAGAACUGCUGAAGGGGCUGGGGUCUCCAGGGUCUUUCCAUUUUCUGGCUGUCUUGCACAGAUGUGGUGGUACCAAAUUAAGGAUGACCAGCAACUGGUCUCUGCAGCUCAGCGCUGAAGCCACUUUGUCCUGCUGUGAAUAGUGACACUCUCUGCAGCUGUGAUGGGCAUGGAAGGAAGGAAGAUGCAGUUUUGAAGCCUUAUCUUCCAUCAGGAGGUCAUCAAAGAGUGCUGCCCAGACAAAACUACUGUGAGACCAGUGGAUCUAGUGUCCCUCAACUCUCAAAACCUGUGCU
rnacentral:lncRNA from 13 species